CCACGACGUGGUCCGCGAGGCCCAGGACGCCGCCUGCCGCGCGGUGCGGCCCGGCAUCGCCUGCCAGGACGUCGACC
rnacentral:tRNA from 1 species